AAACUCACUGCUGGUGGAGUUCUUGAGGUGGAGAUCUAGGAGGAGGAGCCGACGGCUAGCUCAGCCUCAGCCCGUGAAUGAAGGUCAGGAUCCCGAAUCUGGGAAUAGCGCUGCUAGUGAAAACAGCGGUGAUAGGCAGCAGCAGCAGCAACAAGGGCAGCAUCCUGAAUCUGGCAAUAACAUCGUCUGAUCAAUCAUUCAGACCAACACGUGCGAUGAGUCAAUGCUGUGUGAAUAGCUAGCUUUGAUCUGUGCAGUAGUCGUAAGUUGUCGGACUUCAGCCCCGCGAUCACGAGCCAAUGGAUGGUAGUUAGUCUGGCAGAUUGACAUCGAAUUUGCGGUUUCUAAGUUGUCCUGUAUAAGCUUGAUAGAUCCCUGAACCUACAGAAUCACACCGGAAAGUGAGUGCAGCUAGCUGUUGUGAUUCAACAGUCAUAUAUACAGGCAUAUGCGAAAAUGAAAUAUAGUACUGCGAGAGCUCCUUAGCUUGCUUGUGAGAAGCUUUACGAACGAUUUGUUCGGAGUGAGUAUUCCUCUUAUAAAUGGAAUGAAAUUUGUUC